GAUCCUGGCUCAGGAUGAACGCUAGCUACAGGCUUAACACAUGCAAGUCGAGGGGCAGCAUGGUCUUAGCUUGCUAAGGCCGAUGGCGACCGGCGCACGGGUGAGUAACACGUAUCCAACCUGCCGUCUACUCUUGGACAGCCUUCUGAAAGGAAGAUUAAUACAAGAUGGCAUCAUGAGUCCGCAUGUUCACAUGAUAAGUAUUCGUAGACGAUGGGGAGUG
rnacentral:rRNA from 1 species